CCUACGGGAGGCAGCAGUGGGGAAUAUUGCACAAUGGGGGAAACCCUGAUGCAGCGACGCCGCGUGAGUGAAGAAGUAAUUCUUUACGUAAAGCUCUAUCAGCCGGGAAGAAAAUGACGGUACCUGAGUACGAAUCCCCGGCUAACUACGUGCCAGCCGCCGCGGUAAUACGUAGGGGGCAAGCGUUAUCCGGAUUUACUGGGGGUAAAGGGAGCGUAGACGGUGCGCCAGGUCUGGAGGGAAAUGCCGCAGCUUAACUGCGGAACUGCCUUGGAAACUGGCGAACUAGAGUGCGGGAGGGGUAAGCGGAAUUCCUAGUGUAGCGGUGAAAUGCGGAGAUAUUAGGAGGAACACCGGUGGCGAAGGCGGCUUACUGGACCGUAACUGACGUUGAGGCUCGAAAGCGUGGGGAGCAAACAGGAUUAGAUACCCUUGUAGUC
rnacentral:rRNA from 1 species